rnacentral:lncRNA from 1 species
UUUUUUGGUUUUUUUUUGAAAGGGAAAAAAAUUUUUUUAAUUACAAACUCAAUUCAUUUGGUGCAUUUCAAAGGUGCAAUACUUUUCUUCAUUUAUCAGUGAAAGAAGUUAGAAAUUAACUUCCCAAAAAAAUCAGCAAAUGGCAAACAAAUGUCCUUGAAAGUCACAGUCACAUAUAGUGCGUCCUAGAAAAGAGGAGGGGCAAGACGGGCUCCACCCACUUUCAUGAGUUUCAUCAAAUACUGGAUCUACUCAAGGGUGGAGAGAAAAGGCAACUUUCAAAAAGGAGUAUGUUAUUAAAUGAGGCAUUUACUAUACUCCUUCCUAAGAGCACCAGAUGGGGAACAUGUUUUCUAAACUAGAUCUAGGAAAUGGAAUGUGGAAUCAAUCCGUCCUCCUCCCCUUAAGGGCUAACCACUGGUUAAUGAAUUAAAAAAACAAGACUAAAAAACAAACCCCACACACACUCCCCCCCAAAAAAAGAGGAGGGAAAAAAAACAAAACAAAACACUAAGAUGUCCCAGAUUACUCUCCAGAGUGGAACCAGGGAGCAGCUUCAACAAUUCCAAUUAGUCUGUUACAGAGUCAUCCAUAAGCAUGCCUUGCUUUUAAACAAAACAAACAAACAAAAAAACACACACAAAAAAAUUUUUUUUGAAACAACAAAAAAAAAACUAGUACUAAUCACUUUUCUGACAAUACAAUUACUCAAAAUUAACUAGUACUGGGAGGGGGAAGGGGGGGCCAUACCUAUGGGCCUUGUCUCACACGAGUGCAUGUGGGUAGGUGCAGGGCAUUUGUCAUUAUUGGAAAAACGAAUUUUAAUUUUUAAUCUUUAGUUUGAUUUAAACAUUGCUUUUAGUAUGAUGCCGACACCAGCUGUGCAGAAAGGGCUCUGGAGAGAUGUUC